rnacentral:pre_miRNA from 1 species
AAUAUACUCCCUCGGUUCGGAAUUACUUGUCUCGGAUAUGGAUGUAUCUAGAAUUAAAACACAUCUAGAUACAUCCAUUUCUGCGACAAGUAAUUCCGAACGGAGGGAGUAAUAA